GGGUAACAGGCGUGCGGAGGCGUGACGCCACCCGGCGCGACGGACAGCAGCUAGGGUGUGCGUCACGUGACCAGGGGAGCCGGCUGUACAGGGCUGAGGAAACACAGACCGUGACCUCUCCUCUUUACCUCACGCUGGUGCGGGGCGAGGCCUCGGAGAUGACUCAGAGCCGGAGCCGGGGGGGGAGCGCGGCCGGGAUCCCCACAGCAGGGCUGAGGGUUCCGCGGGAGGCGUCGGAGACCGAGGAGGUGGAGGAGGAUAGUGCGGCCCAAGUGCCGCUGCCAGGGGUGUCCCUGGGGGGCCCCUCACUGCUGCAGCAGUGGCUGGGGGUGGGCGAGGGGUGGCUGUGGGGCGCGAUGGCUGAGAUGCUGGGACGUGGUUUCAGUGCAGCUGUGCGGCUGCUGGAAGGCCUGGGGGGGGCCUCUGGGCUGAGCCCGAGCUGGGGCAGUUGCUACCACGCGCUGCCUGUGCCUGAUGCGCCGUGACCUGCGCGCCGUGUCUGCCGCCGUGGCCACCAUCACCGCUGCCACCUGCUGCCUGACAUCCACGGGGAGCUGUGAGAGGGGAACGCCAGCGGGGUGGUGUUGGCAGCCGCAGGGAGCUCCUGGCGUCGUCAUUGCAGUGUUGCUGUCACUGGCCUCCAGCACCGUGUCCGAUGGACUUGGGGGUUGUGGUUGUCGCUGAUGGCGUUCUCACUGUCGCUGCAUUUCCAGUGCUGUGUCCCCUUGAGCUGAUGCUGCCAUCGGCUGUGCCCCUGUGCUCAGUCUCAGGGGAGUGGUUUUGUGAAGGGCACAGUGGGAUUGCUUUCAUAAAGAUUCUGGACCUCGGUUUCCUGCCCAUAUCCAAAUUAGAAUGAAAAACAGUAUUAAAGAUUCAUCUUUUGAGAAAGAACCUCUGAGCACUUGUAGCUGGCAGUGCUUUGAUAUUCUAGAUAACUAGAAUAAAGCUGGGUGAUGCUGACUGAUAGCAUCAGUUGUGAGCAUGCUCUACAGAAAGCUUCCUUUUGUGGGAGUGAGGAAACAAAAUGUGUGGGGUUAAUAUGGGGUUACUGGAGUCUAGGAUUCUAGAGUCUGAGGAUUGUAUGAGGAUGCUACGAGGAUACUAGCUCCUGUGAGUGCAAGUUCUGUUAUUUCACAUCCUGUGAUUGUUUCCCAAUUCUAGAUUCUUUGAUUCUGUGAUGAUUCUGGGCUUCAAAUGUGUGGUAAUUCUGAUUCCUCACUAAAAGUAGAGACUCCCAGAUUUGUAGCUACACAAUACAAUUCAUUUCCAUAUCCACCCCUUUGCAUACCGUGUGGCAUAGUUCUGAGUGCCUGACGCAAACCCAAGCAAAAUCAAUUUCUGUAGGUUAUUUAAAAAAAUAAUAAUGAAAAUAAAAUCUUUGCUGUUG